rnacentral:rRNA from 1 species
AACGAACGCUGGCGGCAGGCCUAACACAUGCAAGUCGAACGCUCGUAGCAAUACGGGAGUGGCAGACGGGUGCGUAACGCGUGGGAACAUACCCUUUGGUUCGGAAUAACUCAGGGAAACUUGAGCUAAUACCGGAUACGCCCGAGAGGGGAAAGAUUUAUUGCCGAAGGAUUGGCCCGCGUCUGAUUAGCUAGUUGGUGAGGUAACGGCUCACCAAGGCGACGAUCAGUAGCUGGUCUGAGAGGAUGAUCAGCCACACUGGGACUGAGACACGGCCCAGACUCCUACGGGAGGCAGCAGUGGGGAAUAUUGGACAAUGGGUGCAAGCCUGAUCCAGCCAUGCCGCGUGAGUGAUGACGGCCUUAGGGUUGUAAAGCUCUUUUACCCGGGAAGAUAAUGACGGUACCGGGAGAAUAAGCCCCGGCUAACUUCGUG